CUGUCAGCUUUAACACACAUUGAAUAUUACUGUACGUCUAUUGUGGGAUAGAUUGUCUGGUUGUUAUGUUAUUUAUUUGUAGUUUAUGCUGUCGGCCUGUUCAACAUUUGCAGAUUUUCAUUGUUAGUUGUUCUAUUGCCAGUUUUGCUAAUUAUUGUAACACAUUUAUCUGUUCUAAGAUUACAGAUUGUCAUCUUGUACAGUAUUUAUUUAUACAGUAGCUGUGAAAUAUUAUUUGUUACUGUUAGAACAGAACCAGACUGGAGACAAUGGUAGAUGAAACUGCAACAGAAGUGAAGUUUAAUAUCUUAAACUAAUUUCGAGAGGAGUACGUGCUCAUGAUUAACCCAGCUGGCUCAUAUUAGCUAAUCACAACCCUCCAAUCAAAGCCACAUAAGUUCCUAUAUAUAUAUAUAUAUAUAUCCUCUUUUCUCUUUGCAACUAUCUUCGUCUUGAAGAACCCGGGACAGUCCCGGGACAGCAUGCCAAACAAGCUUCGUAAGUCAUGAGCUAAGUAUAAACUUUUGAAAUGUAUAAAUAUGAAUUAAAGACUUGACAUCUUUCUAUUGUAUUUUGCAGUUUGGAAAGAACCACAUGGAGAAAAAGGGAAUCACACAGCUCAGCAACAACUGGAUGGUCAGGAAUUUAUUUUUUAAAAAUUAGAUUGACGAGUGAAUUGAUGAACGUCCUUCCAAGAUGAAGGAGUGGUGGUUGAUAUAGAUAGAUGGUUAAUUAGGCCUUGUCUGAGUCAGCUUUUCUUUUUUAGGUAAUGGAGAGAGAGCAGGCAGAAGAGGAAGACUUACAAGAGCAUCGGUGGACAUUUACCUAAAAAAUGCUGGAGGACUCUGUCAUUGCUGUCUAUAGGUUGGAGUGGAGCCAAAGAAGGAGACUCACAAGGGGAACAGUGGAGAUAUACUUGAAGACCUGGAGCUCAGGAAGCAGAUUGGCACGGAGCAUGUGGAGGAACAGGGAAACACAUGGAUGGGUGCAUGGAUGGAUGUCCUUCCAAGAGGAAGUGGGUGGUGGCGGGCAUAGAUUGUUUGAUAGAUGUCUUGUCUGUGGCUGUUAUUUACAUUGUAGGUUAUGGAACCACAACAGGCAGAAGAAAUAUUAGAAAUAGACUCACUAGCAGAAUGGUGGAUAUUUAUCUGGAGAACACUGGAGAACACUUUGUUUAUUGCUGGAGAUCAGCCAGCAUGUAGAGCGUUGCUAGUCUUGUUUUUGUCUUUUGCAGAUUAGACUGGGGCGUGUGGAGAAAUGGGAAUUACAUCUCAGCAAUGACUGCAAACUGAUGGUGUGGUUAGGUAUUUCCUGAAUGGAUGGGUGGAUGAAUGAAUGAAAAAUAGAUGUCCUUCCAAGAGAAAGGGGGUGGUGGUGGGCUUAGAUAGUUAGAUAGAUGUCUUGUCUGUGACGGUGUUUCUUUUUCAAGUAAUAGACACACAACAUGCAGAAGAAGGAAACUCACAAGUGCAUAGGUUGAGAUUUAUCUGAAGAAUGCUGGAGAACAGCUUGCAUUUCUGGAGUUUGGCAAGCAUGUAGAGCUCUGUUAGUCGUGUGUUUGUCUUUUACAGACUGGAGUGCAGCAUGUGGAGUAAAAUAUGAGUUACACAUCUCAGCAAAAUAGAUGUCCUUCCAAAAGGAAGGGGGUGGAGGUGGGCAUAGAGAUGUCUUCUCUGUGGCAGUUAUUUAAACUGUACACUGUUAACCCUUGCUGUAGAUUAUGCUGUAAAUAACUGUAAAAUAGCCAGUGUUUUACUGUAAUAAAGGAAACAGUAUUUACUGUAAACAAGUAGGAUUUGUAUGAAAUUGUGUAGUUUAAAGAAUAAAUUAAUUUACUUUAUGUAGCCAUUACAGGUAGUAACUGUGUUCAAUGGUAAAUUACUGUUCAACAAUUACUGACCCAUCUACUCUGAUGCUUUGUGUCUCUUUAUAGACAGUUGUAUUUAUCUUAAGACAGAAAACACACACAUACACAGGCUCUCUGUCGUCUUAUUCUAAACACGUUUAGGUGUUGCUACUUUAAGGGGGCCGGGUGUUUGAUUUGUUUACUUCUGAGUGUGCUCCAUUCUCUGUCAGUUCAGAUGCAGUGAGUAAGUGUGAGAUUACAGUGAGUACGUGUGUAAAUGAGUAAAUGUGUUCAACUAUUCAAAUAUAAAAUAAUGUGUGUGAAUUUAAUCAAAUUGUUGUUAUUAACUGUGUACUUGAAAGCUGCGUUGUUAGCUAGUUAGCAUCUCCUCACAACUUCUUACAUUACUUUUAUUUAAGUAUAUAUAUUAAAUAGGCAACUCAUCUGUAUUGGUUAUGUCAUAAUGUACAGAUGCAAACAGUGUAAUGUGUCUCUGGAAACUAAGCCGUUUUAAUCAUUCAGUUCCAAUCUCCUUAGUUAGGUAACUUUCCUUAGUUAGGUAAAGUCCUCACAGGGAAUCACAAAACUCCACUAUCAGGUCCCAAGUUGUGAAUUUGUUGCUUCUAAUUUUUUCAGAGCUGUGUUUCCACCUGUGAAUUCAUAUUAGGGACAAUAGAAAAGUUUGUU